CGAUCAUCUGUAUUAUAUUGUAAUAUGACUCACAAUGAUGAUUUAUGGCGUCUGGCCAAGUUCUCGGCGAUCUCAUUUAGUGACUGCAGGUUGCACCGAACGAUGGUCUCCACAAACACACACGUAUCCUCCUUCGUGUUGCCAGGAGGAAUAUCCACUACGUAAGAUUCCACUACUACGGUGCCGUUACCCGCGGGAGAAGGGUGGAGGGUUGUGACAGACUUGUAAUUCACCAGCCGAUGGUCCCCACCAACCACGCUGAAGCUGAUAACGUGGCGCUCGUCGUCCAGGAUCUCGAGACGCUCCGUGCUGUUAGCUGCAGGAAGUCCCGAGACCACGUGGACCUCUCGGAGGGUACCUACGUCUCCAUCUCCGACAAUAACGUGACAGCUCUUUACAAAGUGCUUGUAAGCUUGAGGGUUAUCGAAUCGUCUGACUACGGACCACACAGUGGAGACAGGGGCAGCGAUAUGCUGUACCGCGGCGGAGCAGCACUGGUUGGGGCCUACGACAUGGGUGUGAUAACGUGCGACGGUUUCUGGGACCGGGGUGGCGCAUGAUAGAGGGGACCACCGCUUCUGGCAGGCGGCUGUGUUGGUGGUGAUGGAUGCGGGGCUGUUAAUCCGAUGGAGCAUGAGUGAGGAUUUAGGAGUAUUAGAAGGCAUUUCUUGUGGGUGGCGAUCUAUAAUGGGGAGAGAUUGGUUUUAGGUUUGAGUAGAGGUUUACUAACUUUUGGCUCUGUAUGCAUAUAUCGCAGAGAGAGAAGGGAAAAGCUGGGGGAUGAUCACUUUCCAAAUAGACUAGAAAGAGGUGAAUGUUGUUGUCAGUGGGCG
rnacentral:misc_RNA from 1 species